UACGUAGGGGGCAAGCGUUGUCCGGAAUUAUUGGGCGUAAAGAGCGCGUAGGCGGUCCGAUAAGUCCGCUGUGAAAGUCGGGGGCUCAACCCUCGGAAGCCGGUGGAUACUGUCGAGCUAGAGUACGGAAGAGGCGAGUGGAAUUCCUGGUGUAGCGGUGAAAUGCGCAGAUAUCAGGAGGAACACCAAUUGCGAAGGCAGCUCGCUGGGACGUUACUGACGCUGAGACGCGAAAGCGUGGGGAGCAAACAGG
rnacentral:rRNA from 1 species